ensembl:lincRNA
AUGAAUACAAGGAAAAGGUCCAGGCCUCCUCCCCGAAGCUACGCCCUGCAGGGAGCGCUGCUGUUGGCAGGCUGGGGAGCAGCCAUUUGGAAUUGUUCUCCAGGGCCCACAAGGAGAGAGGAGCACCCCACGCAGGCGAAUCGCCUCUUGUUUUGUCUGCAGAGCCAAGAGAGGCUGAAGUUGGCUGCAGGACAGUCUUCAGCGUCCGAGGAUGGGGCGGCCGGUCAGGCAGACCUGCCCCGCAGGAUGUUCCCGGGAGCAAGCAGUGAGCCCGCCCGCGCCCACGCUCCCUGCCCGGGCGCCCAGCGUGGAGGCUCCCCCGGUCUCCCCACACGGCCGGGGCCUCGCGCCAGCCCCAGCGCAGCCCCUCACCAGCUCCCAGAAACCGGUGAGAAGCAGCCCAUAGCUUGUUACCUGUUUAUCCAAAGGACAGAUCAGUGCUCAAGAAAGCAAUGCCGGCUCCAGGGAGCCAGUACAGCCCAGUCUGCACAACUCCCGGAAGAGAAUUAAUCCAGGAAUGUUCCCUGAGUGCCUGCUAACGAUGCUACCCUGUGAAAAUACGCCUUGAACCCAGCAGACCCUGGGUAAAUAGUUGUUGGUUUGCUCAAGUUUGCAUCCAGCAAGAGCCACCUCGGAGGCUCCCUGCUGCGGAAAGCCACCAUCCUGUCCUCCCCGUACCAGUCGGAUGUCAGGCUCAACACGCAGCCAGUGAAACCGGGUUCUGAGGAGCCAGGCACCCCUCCUUUCUCCCUCUUUCUGCUAUGUGCCAAUGGCCUCUGGAUUGCAUUAAGCCGCAUAAAUAACAGGGCUGUUGUCAGAUAUCCCCUGGUGAGGAAAGGGCAGAUGGGGAAGCCAGUGGGUCACGACCUUCAUGUUUCUCAGCGGGGGUCAAAACGCCUUCCACGCUGGGCGAGGGGAGAGGAGGUCUGUGUUAUGCUUGCACUGGGCCCUGACAGGCGAAUAUAAUUCCUGCGCGGCUGCAGGGAACGCUGGGAUUUGUUUUACAGCCUGGCGUGGCUCACUCUGUUCAACUAACAUCUGGUGGGAAAUGGAAAAGUCCCAUGCUGGACCUUCCAGGCUGGGAUGACUGGUGGAUUUUGGCAGCAGCCUACCCUUGGAAUGGGGCUUCGUUUCUUCUCUGUGCCUUGGUUUCUCCGGCAGUGAAAGAGGGGUGUGGGUGGUCCCCGAGUCCUACUGACGGGAGGGAUCCGUGCACUGGAGCCCGCACAGCUCAAGGGGCUGCCACGCAGUAAGUGCUCGAUUGUUGAGUGGAUGAUAACGGUCCCCGCCCCUUGAUACCAAAGACAGAGGGGCUCUACUUUCUGAAGCCGCUGAGCUCAGGGGCCUGGCUUUGGGAGGGCGUGGAGGACAGGCACCCGCAAGACUGGAUGUAAAAUGCAACGUUCAGAGCUUAUAUUUCAGACUUCCCAUCCUAACCCCAAUCUGCUUCUGCAGACAGAGGAGACAAACUCUGACCCUCACUUUGAAGUCGUUGCUUUCCCUGUCCUUGCUGGUCACGUCUAGCAGUUUUUGAGUGCC